CCUACGGGAGUCAGCAGUGAGGAAUAUUGGUCAAUGGGCGCGAGCCUGAACCAGCCAAGUAGCGUGAAGGAUGACUGCCCUACGGGUUGUAAACUUCUUUUAUAAAGGAAUAAAGUGAGGCACGUGUGCCUUUUUGUAUGUACUUUAUGAAUAAGGAUCGGCUAACUCCGUGCCAGCAGCCGCGGUAAUAAGGAGGAUCCGAGCGUUAUCCGGAGUUAUUGGGUUUAAAGUGAGCGUAGAUGGGUUGUUAAGUCAGUUGUGAAAGUUUGCGGCUCAACCGUAAAAUUGCAAUUGAUACUGUCAUUCGUGAGUACAGUUGAGGUAGGCGGAAUUCGUGGUGUAGCGGUGAAAUGCUUAGAUAUCACGAAGAACUCCGAUUGCGAAGGCAGCUUACUAAACUGCCACUGACAUUGAUGCUCGAAAGUGUGGGUAUCAAACAGGAUUAGAUACCCCGGUAGUC
rnacentral:rRNA from 1 species